rnacentral:lncRNA from 1 species
CAGGAUUUUCACAUACAACCUGUACACAUGAAUCAAGCUUUGAGAAGAAAGCUUAAUACACAAACUCAGAAGUAAGUAUAUCUUCCAUAUGUGAGGAUGAGAUUCUUGCUGUGUUAAAUGAAAGCUGAAAAUAGUAUUAUUGGCAUAGAAAAAUCCAACGAUUUUGAUCUUGAUUUAGGUGGGAUAGAUAAGUAAUUGUGUUGGGGUAGUAAAAUCCUCCUGGAUUGAUAAGACUGGCAUUUCUUUAAGUACAGGUAUCAUUGCAGUGCCUGUAAUAUGUGCAAUAUGCUUUUGGUUCUAGAAACUCAUUUCCUGUCCUGAAAAGUAUGAAUGAAAAUACAAAUUAGAAAUUAUAUGUGAAAUUUUCACUUUCCUAUUACACAAAGGUUUUCUUUCCUUGUAUAGUAGCCGCAGAUCAGAAGACUGAAAGAACUGCCUUUACUGAUAAUUGGCAACCCAGCUUUGUAAUCAUUCCAAAUAAGAAUAUUUUUAAAAAUAUAUAUUUUUUUAGGUGUAGAUGGACACAACACAAUGACUUUAUUUUUAUGUGGUGCCAAGGAUCGAACCUGAGUCCCAC